rnacentral:tRNA from 2 species
UCCCUGGUGGUCUAGUGGCUAAGACUCCAUGCUCCCAAUGCAGGGGGCCCAGGUUUGAUUCCUGGUCAGGGAA